GAUGAACGCUGGCGGCGUGCCUAAUACAUGCAAGUCGAGCGAACGGACGAGAAGCUUGCUUCUCUGAUGUUAGCGGCGGACGGGUGAGUAACACGUGGAUAACCUACCUAUAAGACUGGGAUAACUUCGGGAAACCGGAGCUAAUACCGGAUAAUAUUUUGAACCGCAUGGUUCAAAAGUGAAAGACGGUCUUGCUGUCACUUAUAGAUGGAUCCGCGCUGCAUUAGCUAGUUGGUAAGGUAACGGCUUACCAAGGCAACGAUGCAUAGCCGACCUGAGAGGGUGAUCGGCCACACUGGAACUGAGACACGGUCCAGACUCCUACGGGAGGCAGCAGUAGCGAAUCUUCCGCAAUGGGCGAAAGCCUGACGGAGCAACGCCGCGUGAGUGAUGAAGGUCUUCGGAUCGUAAAACUCUGUUAUUAGGGAAGAACAUAUGUGUAAGUAACUGUGCACAUCUUGACGGUACCUAAUCAGAAAGCCACGGCUAACUACGUG
rnacentral:rRNA from 1 species